GUGGGGAAUAUUGCGCAAUGGGGGAAACCCUGACGCAGCAACGCCGCGUGAGUGAGGAAGGACUUCGGUCUGUAAAGCUCUGUUAAUGUGGAAAAAUGGCAGUUGGUCUAAUAGGCCGAUUGUUUGAUGGUACACAUAGAGGAAGCACCGGCUAACUUCGUGCCAGCAGCCGCGGUAAUACGAAGGGUGCAAGCGUUGUUCGGAUUUAUUGGGCGUAAAGCGCGCGUAGGCGGACCUGUAAGUCAGAUGUGAAAUCUCGGGGCUCAACCCCGAAACUGCGUCUGAAACUGCAGGUCUAGAAUCUUGGAGGGGGAAGGGGAAUUUCGCAUGUAGGGGUAAAAUCCGUAGAUAUGCGAAGGAACACCAGGGGCGAAGGCGCCUUCCUGGACAAGUAUUGACGCUGAGGCGCGAAAGCGUGGGGAUCAAACAGGAUUAGAUACCCGAGUAGUCC
rnacentral:rRNA from 1 species